GUGGGGAAUAUUGGACAAUGGGGGGAACCCUGAUCCAGCCAUGCCGCGUGUGUGAAGAAGGCCUUUUGGUUGUAAAGCACUUUAAGCGAGGAGGAGGCUACCGAGAUUAAUACUCUUGGAUAGUGGACGUUACCCACAGAAUAAGCACCGGCUAACUCUGUGCCAGCAGCCGCGGUAAUACAGAGGGUGCGAGCGUUAAUCGGAUUUACUGUGCGUAAAGCGCGCGAAGGUGGUUAAUUAAGUCAAAUGUGAAAUCCCCGAGCUUAACUUGGGAAUUGCAUUCGAUACUGGUUAGCUAGAGUAUGGGAGAGGAUGGUAGAAUUCCAGGUGUAGCGGUGAAAUGCGUAGAGAUCUGGAGGAAUACCGAUGGCGAAGGCAGCCAUCUGGCCUAAUACUGACACUGAGGUGCGAAAGCAUGGGGAGCAAACAGGAUUAGAAACCCGGGUAGUCC
rnacentral:rRNA from 1 species